rnacentral:ncRNA from 1 species
AAAGCGGAAUCCGAAAAAGCUUGAAAAGAGUAGGAG